rnacentral:rRNA from 1 species
AGAUUGAACGCUGGCGGCAGGCCUAACACAUGCAAGUCGAGCGGCAGCACGGGUACUUGUACCUGGUGGCGAGCGGCGGACGGGUGAGUAAUGCCUAGGAAUCUGCCUGGUAGUGGGGGAUAACGCUCGGAAACGGACGCUAGUACCGCAUACGUCCUACGGGAGAAAGCAGGGGACCUUCGGGCCUUGCGCUAUCAGAUGAGCCUAGGUCGGAUUAGCUAGUUGGUGAGGUAAUGGCUCGACCAAGGCGACGAUCCGUAACUGGUCUGAGACGGAUGACUCGAGUCACACUGGAACUGAGACACGGUCCAGACCUCUACGGGAGCAGCAGGUGGGAAUAGUUGGACAAGUGGGCGAAAAGCCUAGGACUACCAGCCCGAAUGCCCG